CCGCGCGACCACGCCAGCUUCCAUGGUUUGGGGGAGCCUUCCCUAUGAGGAUCCAGCGUGUCGUCCUCGUCGCACCCUAAUUAGGUUCCUGGUGUGUCCGCACCGCCGCACCCUAAUUUGAUUUCGACUGGAGUCUAGGACGUCAGCGCCACGAGGUCGUUAGCACUGCCGUCCAGGUGAUAAUAAACGCCGUUCACCACAACAAGAGGGAGCAAACUGCGUAGCAAGAUCAAUAAUGAAUGGUUCAAGUCAUGUGUUACAAGUUACAAUGAGCAGGUGGUACUCAAGUCCGUUGAUGAUAAGGAUAUUAUUCGAACAUUUACUGCAAUGAGGUCUCGGAAAGGGCAUUUGCCUCGUGAUUGUCUUUAGUGCGCUGUUGGUAUUCGGUAUGUUCCAUCUGACCAUCUCUAUUCUUGCAAGCU